AGUUGCAGGGAUUGCUUGCAAUCCGCUGACGACCGGCGCACGGGUGUUUAACGCGUAUACAAUCUACCUUGCACAGGGGGAUAGCCUUUAGAAAUGAAGAUUAAUACCCCAUGGUUUGAGAACUUGGCAUCAAGUUUUUAAUAAAGGUUACGGUGCAAGAUGAGUAUGCGUUCUAUUAGCUAGAUGGUGUGGUAACGGCACACCAUGGCUACGAUAGAUAGGGGCCCUGAGAGGGGGAUCCCCCACACUGGUACUGAGACACGGACCAGACUCCUACGGGAGGCAGCAGUGAGGAAUAUUGGACAAUGGAGGCAACUCUGAUCCAGCCAUGCCGCGUGCAGGAAGACUGCCCUAUGGGUUGUAAACUGCUUUUAUACAGGAAGAAACACCCUCACGUGUGAGGGCUUGACGGUACUGUAAGAAUAAGGAUCGGCUAACUCCGUGCCAGCAGCCGCGGUAAUACGGAGGAUCCAAGCGUUAUCCGGAAUCAUUGGGUUUAAAGGGUCCGUAGGUGGAUAAUUAAGUCAGAGGUGAAAUCCUGCAGCUCAACUGUAGAAUUGCCUUUGAUACUGGUUAUCUUGAGUUAUUAUGAAGUAGUUAGAAUAUGUAGUGUAGCGGUGAAAUGCAUAGAUAUUACAUAGAAUACCAAUUGCGAAGGCAGAUUACUAAUAAUAUACUGACACUGAUGGACGAAAGCGUGGGUAGCGAACAGGAUUAGAUACCCUGGUAGUCCACGCCGUAAACGAUGGAUACUAGCUGUUCGGUUUCGGCUGAGUGGCUAAGCGAAAGUGAUAAGUAUCCCACCUGGGGAGUACGUUCGCAAGAAUGAAACUCAAAGGAAUUGACGGGGGCCCGCACAAGCGGUGGAGCAUGUGGUUUAAUUCGAUGAUACGCGAGGAACCUUACCAGGGCUUAAAUGUAGAUUGACAGGACUAGAGAUAGUUUUUCCUUCGGGCAAUUUACAAGGUGCUGCAUGGUUGUCGUCAGCUCGUGCCGUGAGGUGUCAGGUUAAGUCCUAUAACGAGCGCAACCCCUGUUGUUAGUUGCCAGCGAGUAAUGUCGGGAACUCUAACAAGACUGCCAGUGCAAACUGUGAGGAAGGUGGGGAUGACGUCAAAUCAUCACGGCCCUUACGUCCUGGGCUACACACGUGCUACAAUGGUAGGGACAGAGAGCAGCCACAACGCGAGUUGGAGCGAAUCUAUAAACCCUAUCACAGUUCGGAUCGGAGUCUGCAACUCGACUCCGUGAA
rnacentral:rRNA from 1 species